GCUUACGACCAUCUCACCCUGAAUGCGCCCGAUCUCGUCUGAUCUCCGAAGCUAAGCAGAGUCGAGCCUGGUUAAUACUUGGAUGGGAGACUGCCUGGGAAUACCACGUGUUGUAGGCU
rnacentral:rRNA from 1 species